ACGAACGCUGGCGGCGUGCUUAACACAUGCAAGUCGAACGGAGAUUAUUAAUGAAGCUUGCGAUUUAAUAAUCUUAGUGGCGGACGGGUGAGUAACGCGUGGGCAACCUACCCAUAAGCGGGGGAUAACAGUUGGAAACGACUGCUAAUACCGCAUAAGCUAUUGAGGUCGCAUGACCUAAAUAGUAAAGGUGGCGAAAGCUAUCACUUAUGGAUGGGCCCGCGUCUGAUUAGCUAGUUGGUGGGAUAGCAGCCUACCAAGGCAACGAUCAGUAGCCGGCCUGAGAGGGUGGACGGCCACACUGGGACUGAGACACGGCCCAGACUCCUACGGGAGGCAGCAGUGGGGAAUAUUGUGCAAUGGGGGAAACCCUGACGCAGCGACGCCGCGUGAGCGAAGAAGGCCUUAGGGUCGUAAAGCUCUGUUGUAAGGGACGAAUGUUUAUCUGGCGAACAGUCAGAUAAAGUGACGGUACCUUACCAGCAAGCCCCGGCUAACUACGUG
rnacentral:rRNA from 1 species